UACGUAGGGGGCAAGCGUUGUCCGGAAUCAUUGGGCGUAAAGCGCGUGUAGGCGGCCACGUAAGUCCGCUCUGAAAGCCCGGGGCUCAACCCCGGGAGGCGGGUGGAUACUGCGUGGCUCGAGUCCGGAAGAGGCGAGUGGAAUUCCCGGUGUAGCGGUGAAAUGCGCAGAUAUCGGGAGGAACACCAAUGGCGAAGGCAGCUCGCUGGGACGUGACUGACGCUGAGACGCGAAAGCGUGGGGAGCAAACAGG
rnacentral:ncRNA from 2 species